GGAACCAAAAGUUACAACUGAUGAAUAUGAACAGGGGACAUGUGUGUACUUUGAUUUUCACAUAGCCAGUGACGACUUACAGCAUGGAUGGUGCCAGAGGAUCAAGACUGAGUUCACUUUUGAAUACAGUUACCUUGAAGACGAACUUCUUGUUGUAUAGAAAAAGUGCAGAAGACGAGUACUGUGAUAAUCUGGUCAAAAGUUUUGGUA